CCCGCACAAGCGGAGGAACAUUGUGGUUUAAUUCGAUGAUACGCGAGGAACCUUACCUGGGCUUAAAUGUAGAGUGCAUUUUUUAGAGAUAGAAAUUCCCUUCGGGGCUUUCUGCAAGGUGCUGCAUGGUUGUCGUCAGCUCGUGCCGUGAGGUGCCGGGUUAAGUCCCAUAACGAGCGCAACCCUUAUCGUUAGUUGCCAGCUGGUAAAGCAGGGGACUCUAGCGAAACUGCCACCGUAAGGUGAGAGGAGGGUGGGAUGACGUCAAAUCAGCACGGCCCUUAUGUCCAGGGCUACACACGUGUUACAAUGGCCGGCACAGAGGGCAGCUACCUGGUGACAGGAUGCUAAUCUCGAAAACCGGUCUCAGUUCGGAUCGAAGUCUGCAACUCGACUUCGUGAAGCUGGAUUCGCUAGUAAUCGCGCAUCAGCCAUGGCGCGGUGAAUACGUUCCCGGGCCUU
rnacentral:rRNA from 1 species